AUUCUUAAAACAUAUAACCAAGAUUAGAGGAACCACCUUAAUUUUUUUUGAAGAUUUCAACAGACUUAAGCUCAGACCCAAAUGCCAUCUAUACAUAACUUUUAAAAUAGAUCCCAAUACCAAAAUUAUGCCUAUAUUAGAGGUCAGCUUAGUCAGCCUAUCCAACUAUCCUAUUAUAAUCAGCCUUCAUACCCACCUCAUCAACAGAUCUCUCUAGCCGAUGAUAGGUUUAGCCAACUUCAAUAAAUAAUUAUGACCUAAUAGCAAUCUAUCAUCAGACUAGAAGCACAAAUAGGCCAGUUAGCUGAGUCUUUCAUGAGAAAAAAAACUAGGUCAAUUGUCUAGCCCACUAAUAUCGAAUUUUAAGAACAACCCACCC
rnacentral:lncRNA from 1 species